AUUGAACGCUGGCGGCAUGCUUUACACAUGCAAGUCGAACGGCAGCGCGGGCUUCGGCCUGGCGGCGAGUGGCGAACGGGGGAGUAAUGCAUCGGAACGUGCCCAGUAGUGGGGGAUAGCCCGGCGAAAGCCGGAUUAAUACCGCAUACGACCUGAGGGUGAAAGCGGGGGACCGAAAGGCCUCGCGCUAUUGGAGCGGCAGAUGUCGGAUUAGCUAGUUGGUGGGGUAAAGGCUUACCAAGGCGACGAUCCGUAGCUGGUCUGAGAGGACGACCAGCCAAAUUGGGACUGAGAGACGGCCAUGACUACUGAGGGAGGCAGCAGUGGGGAAUUUUGGACAAUGGGGGCAACCAUGAUCCAGCCAUGCCGCGUGCUGGACGAAGGCCUUCGGGUUGUAAACCGCUUUUGUCCGGGAAGAAAUCCUCUGGGCUAAUACCCCGGGGGGAUGACGGUACCGGAAGAAUAAGCACCGGCUAACUACGUG
rnacentral:rRNA from 1 species